AUUCUAUUUUCGAAAAUUUUACAUUCUUUUUAACUGUUAAUUAAAAGAGACUUAAUUUCAUGAUAAAUAAAAAAAAAAAAUUUUUUUUGAAGACUAUGAGAUUUUUUCUCAUGGCGAGAAGUAAAGAAGGUGAGCCGAAUAACGUGGGUACUGAAGGGUUAA